rnacentral:rRNA from 1 species
GACGAACGCUGGCGGCGUGCCUAAUACAUGCAAGUCGAGCGAAUGGAUUAAGAGCUUGCUCUUAUGAAGUUAGCGGCGGACGGGUGAGUAACACGUGGGUAACCUGCCCAUAAGACUGGGAUAACUCCGGGAAACCGGGGCUAAUACCGGAUAACAUUUUGAACCGCCUGGUUCGAAAUUGAAAGGCGGCUUCGGCUGUCACUUAUGGAUGGACCCGCGUCGCAUUAGCUAGUUGGUGAGGUAACGGCUCACCAAGGCAACGAUGCGUAGCCGACCUGAGAGGGUGAUCGGCCACACUGGGACUGAGACACGGCCCAGACUCCUACGGGAGGCAGCAGUAGGGAAUCUUCCGCAAUGGACGAAAGUCUGACGGAGCAACGCCGCGUGAGUGAUGAAGGCUUUCGGGUCGUAAAACUCUGUUGUUAGGGAAGAACAAGUGCUAGUUGAAUAAGCUGCACCUUGACGGUACCUAACCAGAAAGCCACGGCUAACUACGUGCCAGCCGCCGCCGUAA